rnacentral:tRNA from 1 species
UCUAUCUCUCUCUCAUGGAGGAGCCGAAUGAAAUGAAACCAAGCUAACGAUGCGGGUUCGAUUCCCGCUACCCGCU